CCAGGGGACCGGGCGACCGCGGCUUGCGCAAGCAAGGCGAGGAAAGUCCGGGCUCCACGGAACGACGGUGCCGGGUAACGCCCGGCGGGCUUGCGGCUUCGGCCAAGGGUUCAGGGACAGUGCCACAGAAAGCAUACCGCCGGGCAUCUUGGGAAACCUUGGGGACCGGUAAGGGCGAAAGGGUGCGGCAAGAGCGCACCGCGCGGCUGGCAACAGGCGCGGCAUGGUAAACCCCACCGGGUGCAAGACCGAAUAGGGGCGUCAUUGGGCUUAGGUCCUGGGGGCUGUUCCGCCUCGACGCCCGGGUUGGUUGCUUGAGCAGCGAAGUGAUUCGUUGCCUAGAGGAAUGGUCGCCCAGGCGCCGCGUCGGUAAAACGGCGCGGUGCUGGACAGAACCCGGCUUACAGGUCCCCUGGCAUU
rnacentral:RNase_P_RNA from 1 species